CCUACGGGAGGCAGCAGUGAGGAAUAUUGGUCAAUGGACGCAAGUCUGAACCAGCCAUGCCGCGUGCAGGAAGACGGCUCUAUGAGUUGUAAACUGCUUUUGUACGAGGGUAAACCCAGAUACGCGUAUCUGUCUGAAAGUAUCGUACGAAUAAGGAUCGGCUAACUCCGUGCCAGCAGCCGCGGUAAUACGGAGGAUUCAAGCGUUAUCCGGAUUUAUUGGGUUUAAAGGGUGCGUAGGCGGUCGGAUAAGUUAGAUGUGAAAUUCCGAGGCUCAACUUCGGAAUUGCAUCUGAUACUGUUCGGCUAGAGAGUAGUUGCGGUAGGCGGAAUGUAUGGUGUAGCGGUGAAAUGCUUAGAUAUUAUACAGAACACCGAUUGCGAAGGCAGCUUACCGAACUGCUUCUGACGUUGAGGCACGAAAGCGUGGGGAGCAAACAGGAUUAGAUACCCUAGUAGUC
rnacentral:rRNA from 1 species